AUUGAACGCUGGCGGCAGGCUUAACACAUGCAAGUCGAGCGGGGAAAAGUAGCUUGCUACUGGACCUAGCGGCGGACGGGUGAGUAAUGCUUAGGAAUCUGCCUAUUAGUGGGGGACAACGUUCCGAAAGGGACGCUAAUACCGCAUACGUCCUACGGGAGAAAGCAGGGGAUCUUCGGACCUUGCGCUAAUAGAUGAGCCUAAGUCGGAUUAGCUAGUUGGUGGGGUAAAGGCCUACCAAGGCGACGAUCUGUAGCGGGUCUGAGAGGAUGGUCCGCCACACUGGGACUGUGACACGGUCCAGACUCCUACGGGAGGUAGCAGUGGGGAAUAUUGGGCAAUGGGGGGAACCCUGAUCCAGCCAUGCCGCGUGUGUGAAGAAGGCCUUUUGGUUGUAAAGCACUUUAAGCGAGGAGGAGGCUACCGAGAUUAAUACUCUUGGAUAGUGGACGUUACUCGCAGAAUAAGCACCGGCUAACUCUGUGCCAGCCGCCGCCGUAACAC
rnacentral:rRNA from 1 species